UGUUUGAUCGCUGAUGAUGGUUCUCGAGGGCCAAAGGCCAAGAGAUGAAAAGGGAACACGGUGAGGCGUAGCCAGUAGGCACCUAAUCCGUGACUGCCCCCGCAACUGUGAGCGGUGAGCGACCCCGAUGAAACCACUGGACGAUACGUCCGGGAAGGUUCGGAGGAGCAAAGACCCGCAAGUCAGGAGACCUGCCAUCACCGGCGCAGAGGA
rnacentral:ncRNA from 2 species